GGGCGGCGCGCCCCUGGGGCUUCGCGGGCACGGCGUGCGGGCGCUGGGAAGUUUCUUGGCGUGCAGCCGUCGCACUCGGGUGGAUACGGGGCCGGGGGCGCACAUCUCCCGCGUCCCCAGCACUGUUUUUCGGGCUGCGUGCACUGCGCGUCGUGUAACCCUUCGAGGGCUGGUUUCGGAGCCCAUCGGCCGAGGCCGGGCGGGGCGGAUGGCUUCUUUGCGGAACGGUCCUCGAGCCUCCGCGGUGCCAAGAACUAGCGGCGGGACUCAGCCCUGGACAGCCCAUCGUGGCGCACGGCACCCCGAACUCCAAGGCGGACGGGAGCUGAGAGCUGGGUCUUUGCGGGCAAGAUGAGGGUGUCAGUUCAACUGGCCUACAAAGUCCCAGUCCUCGGUCCCCAGGACCGGCAUUUUCUCCAUGUUCCUCGCCGGUUGAGGCCGGUCCCUUCUUGGCCCUCGUGCGCUCCGGCUGGGCCUCUAACUCGCAAGUCCACCUGAGUAGAAGGACUGUGAAGGCGCGUACCGCGGGUUGUCUGUGCGGUUUGGGGGAAUCUGUGUUUCGGCAGAGAAAGAGCGACGCACUUGAAAGUGUGAGACAGCAUCCUCCUGGCAGAGUGGGACCUUGCUGGGGUGACUUGGGGUCGGGGGAGAAAGGGCUUUUUUUCUUCUUGGAUAAGCCUGCCUUGCUGUAUGGUGCCAACCUUGAGCUUGGGGGUGGGGAAGAUAGAGCCUGAUUUCUAGACUUGCUCCUGGGAAAACAGCCUGGAUGCUGAACCUCUCUGCCUCCCCAAUCUUUGUCUUAAAUGCUGGCUUUGUGGUCACAUCUCUUUAAGUCUUUCACCCACUUUCACGUAACCGAAUACCGACCACCAUCAAGUUUUAUGCUGGAAAAAAAAAGCCCCUUCUCCCUUAAGCUCUUUGCUUGUAAAACUUUGCUUAUCUCCCCAACACACACACACACACACACACACACACACACACACACACACACACACGAAAAGCCCUGAAAUCGCGGGUUCCUGAACUUGGCCCCUUUUGUCUUUAUGUAAUUGUGUGGCUGUCUGGCCAGCUUUGAAAAAACAUUUAGGAGCAUGCACUUAGGAGACUUGAACUCUGUGCAUGAAGGGCAAGUUGAUCAAAUGGGGCAUCUCUGGCCCCCUUCUUCUGGCACUGAAAAAUUAGAGAGGUUUCUAGAAGCUUGGAGGCUGGAGAAGGAAGAAAUCAGGUUGGCCUACCUCUUGGGCAGUUGUACAAGGACCGUAUAAGAGGUAUUAUCCCCCCCCCCCACACACACACACACAGGCUCCUCACCCUUGUGGGCCACAUGCAAAGUUGCCACGGUACAAAUCCUACCCGAGCUGUUGUCCCUGUCCCUUGGUGGCACGUAGUAGUAGAAACAGGAGAGGGAGUCAGGUGUGGAGAGAAGUCUGGAUUGGCCCGGUGAACUCCAGCGGCGAUCAUAGCCUGAGUUUUGUCCAUGUAAGCUUUGUCCCCUCCGGGCUCUAGUUGGUGGAAUGUGCUAGUACUCGAAAUAUGGAUGAAAAGAGUUUCUUUGACCGUGGUGUAGAUUUCCCAGCAUCUUGGCAAAUUCCGUUUGAGACAAAAUUGUUUAGGGAGUGGAAUUGACGGGCAUUUCAACUGGAGGCCUUGUUCCUAAUUAAGAAAAAAUGCCCUCUUUGGGGGUGCUGAUUCAGGGGGGAAAAAAGUUAUCCUGCUGCACUGUUGCCUCUCCCAGCCCCCCCCCCCCAGCAUAGGCAUCGAAAAGUAAGUGAAAUGGAAAUCUCCAUAGUAUUUUGUGGUCCUAAACCAUCCACGGAAGUGAGCUGGAGCCGUGGGAUGCAGAAAAGCUUGCCCAGCUGGCUGCUUUGCACCCACCUUGGAGGGGACAGACUUUGGAAUGUAGGGCAUAAGUCAAUUGGAAGUCAGUAGCCCGCCAGCAUUGGUGGCCUCCAGGUCCUCAUCAGGCUGUGGCUGGCCAGGUGUUAGGGAUUUUUUAGGUAAUUGUUUGGUCCUUCAUUUCUUUGGGGGAAGUGAAUGAUUGAUUUUUCCAGGGGUGGGGGUAGUUACUUUACAAAAAAAAAAAAAAAAAAAAGAUUGACUGAACUAAGUACCAGGCUAGGCUAGCCUGUCCUCCAGCAGCCGAUUUCUGCUUUUGAUUUAAACAGAUGCAUUUAGCAAAAGCAAGUGAUUGAGUUGAAGACUUUGCGAUUCUGCUGUGUCUCUUGGCCCCAACACCACACCUGUUUCCAUCCUUGGAGGAUGGGUACCUCAAGGAUUCUCAAGAGGAAGUGACUGGAUGGUCAGGCUUGUUUGUGCUAGAACCUUCUUCAGGAAGCGGCUAAAUGCAAGGUGGAAAGCUGAUGGGAGGAGGAUUUUAGCCAGACCCCCAGGGAGACCCAUGCUGGACUCAGGUACUGCUUGCUGGGAGGAAACUUCAUUCCCUCAACUCUUAAGUAAAUUGCAACCCUGUGAAUAAUUAACCUCGCCCUUCUAGGGUUUUUUUUUUUUAAUAAAAUCCCAACUUAUUAAAGAUUAAAGAUCAGUUUUUGCCUAGCAGGAUAGGAAUGAUAAAAGAUAUAUUGGGAGAAGCUAGUCCCCUGGUCUCUACCAUCAAGUCUCCUGGUAACUUUGAAAGCUUUCAUUUUGUGUUAUUUUGUGUGUAUGGGUGUUUUGUCUGCAUGUCUGUCUGUGCCUCACAUGCAUGCCUGGUGCCCGAGGAGGCCAGAGGGAGUGACUGGAGUUACAGAGGGUUGUGAAUGGCUUUGUGGGUGCUCAGAAGGAGCAGCCAGUGCUCAUAGCUGCUCUGCCUUAUCUCCAGCCCUGGAAGGUUCAGUAUUUUGAAAUACUCGGUGUGUUUCAUUGUUGCCUUCUCUGCUGGCCUAGGGAGUUCUUCCUGGGCUUUCUUCACUGCCUCUUUGUCCAAAAUUAAGCUGUCUGAAUGCUCCAAGAGAGUGACAUCCUACCCUCGCUCCUGUAUCCCCUUUAUCUAGCAACUGCUUGGCCCUUACUACUUCCUGGGCUUGAUUCUCCUCCCAGGCUGCUCUGCUUUCCCCUGGAAGGCUGGGAAAUAUUUGGCUAGUUUCAGGACUUUCAAACAAAAGCUCCUAAUCUGUGAUAAGUCCUGAAAGAAAGUUGAAGCAGGAGGGAGGGAUCAUUUCAGUGUCCAAAGGCACCAAGACACAUGGUAGACCUUGGGUGUGUUGGGUCUCCAGUUCUGAUCCCUCUGUAGGCAGGGUGGCUUUGGCCAGAUGGCUUGACUGUACUCCAGUUUCUCCUUGUGAAUCAAGGGUUAUGAGUCUUACUUUGGGAGGGUGUGGUGAGGCUUAUAUUUUAAAAUGUGUACAGUGGCUGGCGCAACCUGGCUGCUCUCCCAUGAUUAAUUCGUGUACGUGUACACACACACACACACACACACAUGUUGUGAGGUCAGGCAUGUUCAUGGUGGUGUGGCCAUAUGCCCCACUUGUAUUUUGAAUCUCCCUGUUUAUAUCUCUUAGUUGAGAAGGGUGCAGCGUGGCUGGGACCUUCGGCUCUUGAGUCUGGCAGGUUCUUGUAGUGGCUGUUGCUUGCUGGCGCACGUGGCCCUGGGGAAGUUACUUGGUGUACUUAGGGAAGUACACCAGGAACAGUGGCUUCUUAAGCAAAAUCUGCCUCAGAAUUGGUCCUUUGCUUUUUAGAAAAAUUUGGCAUAUUUUAUUUAUUUGUGUGUAUAUAUGUACACACACACACACACACACACACACAUAAAAUCUUCUAACACAUGGAUCCCAGGGAUCAAAAUCAGAUCACCAGGCUUGGCAGCGGGGACUUGACUCUUCCCAGCUCCCCUGUUGCUUUUUAGUGGCUACCCUCUAUGUGCUGAGGACUGGACCAUCUGUGAGAAAGCUGGCCUCUCCCCUCAUUGCUCACUGGCUUUCCUGCCAGCCCUGAGAGCAGAUGAGGGUAAGUGUGGCAGGAAGGGCCUCUCCCAGGGUCUCACAGCUGGCCUUUGUGGCGCAGCAGCCAAUUCCCUGGCCUUCUGGGUGUAGCUCCCAGGUCGGGAGCCAGCAGCAAACUGGAGCCUAUAGCGAGGAGGUGGGAGGUCUGAAUUAGCCAGCCUAGACCUCAAAGGAACCCCGGCUUAUAGAUCUGGUCACUUUGCACUGUUCUGGGAGGCUUGAAGACUCCUCUAUCUCUGACCCCAGCACAAUUUAUGAAAAGUCCCAGGGAAGACAUCUCAGUUUCUCUGGUACCAGACUCUGGAUUGGCUUGCUCACUGGCUCAAUGGCAAGUUCAGCAUACGCUAUAGGGGAGUAAAAUAGUUUGAUACACGCACACACGCGCACACACACGCUCACACACACGCACACACAUAUAAACUGAGAUAAUCAUCAGAGGGGGGAAAUCAGAACUUCCUCCCUGUGGCACAGUAAAGCUUUUAUUUAGAAUUUAGAAUUUCUAAGACAUUAACCAUUCUCUUCGGUGCUUCAGUCUCUAGCUGGCCCUUCACCGAACAGGCAGGCAGAUGACUUCUCACCCACUGUGGGUGUGCCCUCCCUCCUUUUGGCACGCUCUGGGCAACUGGAGAAUUUGGAAAUCACUCUGCAGCCGGCCCCCUGGGUUGGCUGCCCAGGAGGACUGAGGAGACAAAGGUGUCCGGUGGAACCAGCUGUCCUGUGAUUUCAGCACUGCUGCCCUGGGGCCUGAAAGUGCCUGCCCUGCCCAGUGGGAAGCGACUGAAUACACUGUGCUCCCUUGUGAACUCGGCCUUCCAGAGUGGCCUGGCUGGGAGGUGCAGAUGCUGGGGGUGGGUGGGGAGGUGGAUAUGAUAGCCGGAGGGGUGUGGGAGGAAUGUGGAGUGUGCAGCUUAUGAAGCGUGGAUCCCUCUAAGGGAGACUUGGUGGUGCAGGCUAACCCACUUCCUCUCUCUGGAUCUCUGCCCUGGGGAGUGGGGUUCAAGGGCAAGCACUGGCUUCUCUUUCUUAGAGGCUAAAGUCAAUCCCAGGCUUGCAAGCACAUGCAUAAGAAAUAACCCUCUAGGGCUGGAAGAUGGCUCAGUGGGCAAAAGCACUGCCGAGCGCACCUGACAUCUGAGUUUUGUUUCCCUGAACUCACGGUAGAAGGAGAGAACGGACUCCUGAAUGGUGUCCUCAGAUCUCCACAUGUGUGCUGUUUCAUGGACACAUCUGCAUCUUACACACACGCAUGCACACACAGGCACACACACACCAAUAAUAAUAAUACAUUUUAAAAAACAACGCUCCAUCUUUUCCCUCCUGUCCCUCUAAAAACAAAGAAAGGGCAUGGUGCCCAUGUCCUGGUAGCAUCUCGCUUUCCAGAAGGCUGUCGGAGAAUGUUCCCUUCUUCUGAAGACGGGACGGGAGAGACAGUGCUGAUGACUUUAGCUUUGGAAGCUUGGUCACUGUAGACACGGCUGGAUUGGGCUGGUAAUGCUUCCUAAGACAAUUUCCUGACCCCAUCCAAGCUUAUUUUGGGGCACUAUGAAAAAUGAACAGAAAUGCCCGUGGGAAAUGCCAGGCCCAAGGUGGAGGCUAGGACACAUACUUUCCCCAACUGUUAUCGGAGUUCCACCUCGGGCUUGUGGGGCCAGUGGACAAACUCCGGGGAGGUCAAGAUAGGACAGCCUGAGACUGGCAAGCCUGCUUGCUGACUUGAUUUCUGUAGAGAAAGCUCUAGAAGAAAAGCCCUUGCCAGGAGGCUUGUGUGAAACGGGGUAGGAGUGAAGACAGGCCCAUUUUUCCAGAGGAGUCCUGUGAUCACUAUCGGAGCCUGCUGGAGGGGACAGGGUGAUGGCUGACCCGUUACUACUGACCUUGCUGUCGCGGGCUUCAGUACAUAGAGGCAGAAACAGAUUUAUGGGAAGAAAAUGUGUCUUUGCUUUUUGGAAGGUUUUGUUUUUGUUUGAAACAGGGUCUCACUGUGUAAACUUAGCUGCCCUAGAGCUCACUACCACUCUUGGAAGUUUGAGAUACGCAACAGAUACGCGGAACUAUGGACUUAAAGUAUAAGCAGAGUUCAGAGCACCUGGCCAGACCUCUUCAUAUCUGGGAGAAGCCGUCACCUCUAGCUCCUACGUGAUUGGCAUGGAAGGGAAGCCCUCCCUCCUCAGAGCUCAUGCAUACCCACUCACUCACUCUUACACUCUCUUCCUGAAUCUGGUGGCAGCUAGUGCUCAUCUUUGGCCAGGUCUGAGGACGUGCGCACACGCUGACACACUAACCUUGGCCAGAUUCUGAGUGUCGAAACAUCUGGCAAACCAUCCUCUCUCCACAGUGUGUCUUUUCCAUAGAGACAGGCUUAGAGGGGGCAGAGCCGGGUGCUAGGACAAGGGUCUGGAAUCCUAACUUGGAUGGGAGGGUGGGAGUGGGGCAGGGGUCAGCCUCUGAAAAUAGAAGGAGCUAGAAAUUCGGCCUCCUCUUGCCAGGUUCUGAGUGGGGGAGGGGGCUGCUGCCAGCCUCCCCUGGCAUUCUCCCUGUCUGUCCUCUUGGUGGAUUUUGUUGUAAUUAGACAAGUUGUGACAAAUACCCCCUUGCUCUCUGGGCCGUAGACUUGUGAGGAGCCCUGCCUGGAAACCCAGCCUCAUUCACUUGGAGCCAUAAUUAGGCAAGAGAACAGUUCAUGGGCCUCUGAUUCAAUAAAGGCUCUUUUAUGAUGUUGGUUUUUCCCAGAAAAAUAAUACCACUUUGCUCCAUUUAUUGCAUUUGAUGUGUAAUCAUAUUAGAGGCAGCCGGCCCAGGGGACCCAAGUUACGUAUGUGGACUUUUUCCACUCACGUCUGUGAGUGUCUCCAGAAAGAAAGAAAAAAGUGACAGGGAACAUUGUUGAAUUUCUUUGAGGAUUUUCUCUCUUGUCAUUCAAAAGAUGUUUUCUCCCUUCAGGGUGAGAGGUGGCCAAGGAAACCCAGAAAGUGAAACUGAUGCGUCUGGCCCUGGGCACUACCACCACUCUGUGGCUCUGGGUUGUCCCGCGUGGCAUAUGAUCCUCAUGUUGCCCCCACACGGUCCGUAUGUGCCCUAUGGGCAACACGUGUGUGACAGAGGGCCGGAGAAGGUGCCCUCGUCCUUUCUGUAAUGCCCUAAUGAAUCUCCACCCGACCACUCAGCUGCAGGCACCACCGCAGCAGGUGGCUGGGGCAGCUAGCCUUGACUAAAUAUAGCCCGAAGUUCCCCAGCAGUGCUGGGUUUAUCAGCAGGUGUGCCAGGCCCCCGCUGAUACUAACAGGACAUCUAUCCCAGGUGCAUGGUGUUUGAAGGGUAUGAUCUCCUGUGUGCCGAACCCCUACUCGACCCCCCUACUCCACCCCUCACCCCUUCACACACACACACACACACACACACACACACACACACACACACACACGCGCGCCAUCUCCUUUGUCAUCUUGUCCCCAGAGCUGUUCUCGUGUUUCCCAAUCAAGGAGUAAAAUUACUCCCACAGAUCUGGCCAGUGCCAGGGGGAGGGGGAAAUCACCAAUGGAAUCAAGAGCUUCUUUCCCAAUUUGGGGUUUAGAAAUCUCAGGCGAUGAGGAAAUUGCUGGUGGUCAUUCGUAGGAGUCGUCUUAAGAAAGAGGGCAUGACAUUUCAGAAUGCUGAAACUGGGUUGCAUUAGACAGAGAAGAUUCAUUUAAUCCCAGAAUGUCGGGUGAAGCCGUUCCCCCACAGUCUCUUCAGACAUCCUAUGGUGGAGAGAGCUCUGCAUUUCCUAGGGAUGGCUUGUCUGUGUGUAAUAAGAUCUGUUAUAAGAAAUAUUCUUAAUUUGGGCUGUCAAAAUGGACAGCAGAUAAAGAUAUUUGCUGCUAAGCCCUAGGACCUGAGUUCAGUCUCCAGGACCACAUGGUGAAGGAGAGAACCAACUCCUGCAAUUUAUUUUUUGUCCUAUAGGUGUGUGUGUGUGCACACUACACUAAGUUUAAAAAAAAGAAUUCUUAAUCUACUUUAAGAUGAUUUUUGGAAGUUUUACCAUAGGCUUUCUGGAUGCUUUUACUUUUGGAAGAAGUCCUGUUACAUUUUAUAUUUUUUUUUAUGUUUGUACCCCUCCCACCAAGGAAUUAUAAUUAGAACGUCUGAAACCAGAUUAUCCAAUUAGCAAUUUUUUUUCUAAUUAGCUUCCGGGAAGUUGUGAUGAGAUAAAUCAUUUUAGAUUUCCAAAUGGAACUUUGGCCAGAGGGAGGCUCUGAGGACGUACACAAGGGAAAACAAAAAUGGGGUCUUUAAAGUCUGAGCUCCUACCCACUCCACUGCUCCCGAUAAACCCACACCGCCAUGCCUGCCCUCCGACAGUAGCAGUGACCAAAGGACAGUUGAUUGUCCUUGUCCCCACAGAGUAAGGGAAACUGUUCAUUCACAAUUGCUCCCUACUCGUGAUAGUGCGAUUUUUCUCCUGUUCUCAGCAGUGUUAGCUGGUCUUUGGACAGAAAAGGCGUCUGGUGGUAUGUAGUCGUUCAGUGUGUUGGUACUGAGUGUCCUGUGUUUGCUUUCUUGUGUCUACUUGCAGUAAAGGUCGUUGGGCCAGGGUCAAGAGCACUGCUCAGCCAAGGCCAGGGACGUGAAGUCAAGACACGGUGUCUGCACUUCCUAACUGUUGCUGCUGCAGGCCCACACCGUCUCCCAAAUUCUGAACCCCACAGAACUUUGAAAACCCCAAGUUGCAGCUUUUGUAACUAAACCUUUGGGAAAACUCGACCCAAACUGACCUCAGACUAAUAAUCUGUAUUUAUCAUGGGUGUAUGAAUAUUCAUAGGUCUCUGCAGAGGUGCUAGCACAUUUGAUUACAGCUGCUGUCCCACUGAGGUAUUGCGUAAUGUGUAGCCUAGGCGCCACGUUCCUUCUGAAAACCUGGCAGGUUCACAGCACAUCUGGCCUGCGAGGCUGGGGUAAGAGAUGGUGGCUCUUACCGUAGUGCCCACUUAACGAAGGCGACGGCAGCGAUGUGUCCAGAGCUGGGGCAGAGAGUCUGGCUUUCUAGGCUUCCUUUCUGGCUGUCACAGGAUCCAGCCAGCCCACAGGCCGGCUGCCCCAAUAACCACACUUCUCCCAGUGUCGGUGGCUGGGCUCUGCUGCGUGCCUCUUCCAGCUGCUUCGUCACAGGCCCUGAGAGCAGACUCAGCAGACUUUGCUUACGUGUCUUCUGUAUUUAGCCCAGGGCUUGGUAUGUGUGAGCCACUGUGGCUCAGGGAAGCAGAAGCUUUUAUUAUUUUGUGAAAGUUCAAAUUACAAAUAUUUGAUGCCAUGAGGGUUAUCCAUGUCUUAUAACUAAAAAAGUCUCUGCCUUAACAGUAGUUCAGCUUAUGAUUUCUGAACCUUACAAGACAUGUGGGGGAUAGCGUAUUUAUUAUGUGUCCAUCUGUCUGUCUCUUCCAACUCAGGAAAUUAUAUGUGGUAAUGUAAGUAGGUAUAUAUGACCACUAAGCUGCCUCAUUCUGCCCAACCAUAAGCAUGUAGUAAAAAUCUGCCCCUAGAAGUUUCUUUUUUAAAAAAAGGUUUACACACACACACACACACACACACACACACACACAUAUUCCUGCCUGUAAAUGUGCCACGUAUGUAUUUUGCACCCAUGGAGCACAUCAAAGCCUCUGGAGCUGAAGUUCCAGGUUGUGAGCUGCCGUGUGGGUGCUAGGAACUAAACCUGGGUUCUCUAAGAGCAGCAAGUGCUCUUAACUGCUGAGCCAUCUCUCCAGCCCUACCCUUAGAAUUUUGACCUUUUCCUGGGCUAACAACGUGCAGUGUGAUUCUCUGUCACAAUGGUGGGUGGUGGCUGUGUGUUGCAGGUUCCAGCCAGCCCCAUAAUUUCAAAGAGGAAAGAGCCCGUCCUCUGCAGAGUGUAGUUGCUAAGCAAGGACGUCCAGUCGGUUAGGGAUAGCGCACACAUUUCAUCUUCUGGUAGCCCAGCUUCUGAUGGGUGAUUGACGUGAUCCCAUGAGAGUUGAGGAACGGAUCUAGUCUGUUCUGUGCUGUCACCUAACACCGUAGAGAGUGCAUCAGUGAACGGGCACACCUAUGUCCUAAUAGCACUUUCUAGAAACAGCAUCUGUCCGUAAUGCACUCGCUGGUCUGGAAACAUGAGUGACCUGCCUUCAGCUUGGGAGCAGAUAUGUGUAUUUAUAUAGAAAGUACGUCUAGGCCCAGUUACAGCUGUGCUGAGGGGCACCUGGGUCUGCACCCUCUGGGCGCUGAGCUGUGCCCUCUGGUGUUCCAGCCAUCGAUCCACACAGGCCAGGCAGCACUGCAGCUGGGGGAGCCGAGGAGGAGCCAAGGCUCUGAAAGUGAGCGUUCUUACCAAAAGAAUUUCUGGCAGAGAGAUUGGUUAUUGUAAAGCCAGCGGCUCUGAUAGAUGGCUUUUAGAUCUCCUGGCUUGUUCAUCAGAGGCCAGAAAGGCCAAAAAAGCUUUUCACUGCAGCCCAGGAUGAGAUCCAGCAGGGCCUGUGGCCUGCCGUCCUGCUUCACAGCCUGCUGGCCUGGGACUGACUCAUUAGGGUAGUUGGAUGGGGGACCAAACCCUGCAGGCAACUAGCCCCUGACCUGCAAAGCUGCAAAGCUGGCCUCUGUAGGGCCGCCCUUGCCCCAGUGGCUUCUCUCUGUAGGACAGGUUCCCAUCACUCCCUGGACCACUUUCCAGCCAGGGUGGGGCUGCUGCAUAGCUUUCCUUCUACACUGCAUUUCAAACAAGGGCUGAUAUUGAGUUGGCUUUUCUUUCCCUUCUAUCAUGGUUUUGUGGGUGACUGGAUAUUUUAGGGAUUCUGUUUGAUGAGAACUAACUCCUCUUUCCAGCUCCCUGGUAAGCCUUGGUGGGUCAUCAGCCUCAGAAGAAAGGCAUGGGCCAACUCAGGAGUGAGGACUCUGGGAAGUGCCUCUGGGCUGGGUGGCCAGGGUUUGGUAGUGGCAAGGCCAGGCCUAGAGUUAUCACCUACAAUAGCAGGGAGGUGUUCCCCUGACCACUGCCAGGGGUCAGACUCUGCCUCAGUUUUGAGUGCCAAGAAUUGCGGGGGAGACUGUUGCCAAUGGGGGUUCCAGCAUCCUCAUGAGAUAGUGAUGAAGGUGCUUCUGGGGACCGUUUUUCAGAUGAGGUGGACCAGUGGGAUGAGUAGCAGGGCACUGGAGCAGAAGAUUCUAGCCUAGGAAUGGGCUGAGGUCAAGAAAGAUUACCCAGAAAAGGUGAGGCACAGAGCAGGGAGGAUGGUGGUGAUGGCUAGUCUUGACUGAACUAUUUCGGUGAGUGCGCCAUUCUGAGCCCUUGACACAGUGUCUUUUUUUAUGGCAGGGGUGGGGGGCAUCUUAGCAGACAAAGCACGGCAUGGCCGUGUCCAGACAUGUAGAUGGCUUGGUUCCUAGUGCCUGGGAACCAUUUGUGUUUUUGGUUUACUAAUGGAGUGUAUGCUGUGAUCCUGGUGGGAGCAGGAAGCGCUGGGUGGGUGUUAGGUACAGUUAGGCGAGACAGGAGCUGGGCUUGCUUCUCUCUGAGCAGGGAAGGGACCUGGAGCAUGGGGAGGAAGGAAGGUACAUUGUCAAUGCUAGGGCAUAAGAGGGCACACCUGACCCCUAUCCCUAGUCCUCUUAGAGAGCAAGAGUCCUCACAGUUCCACCCAGCCCUUGGCAGAGUGGAGUGUACUGGUUGAGUCUGCUAUCUCUUUGUCUACUUUAUAAGACAAUGUGAGGUAAGGCAAUGUGAGGUUAGAAAGAACCAAAGUAAAGUUUAUUAUUGACAUACAAAAGACAGCCAGGCAUAACAUAGUUGCAGUCACACAUUGAGGACGUUGUGGCCUCGGGGCUCUGUCUUCCUUAUGGACACAUGUAUCACCAUCGUGGACCAUAGUGUUCUGAGAGGAGAGUGUCUUGUAUACUAGACAGAGCUCAUGGACCCACAGAACUUAGCUGGAUGAGGGAGACUCCCAGUGGCCAGUUGGCCAGAUUCUAACCUUGCUAGGAACCAGGGUAGAAUGACGGCACCAGGAAAAGACCAGGCUCUGUGGAGUGAGAUCUGAUUGGGCCUUCCAGGUUUACACCCUGGUGCUGGGAAUUAACCCUCUGUUGCCAGGUGGCUCACCUGGGCCUGAAACAGGAGAAACCAUCUCAUUAAAGAGUAUCCUAAACAAGACCCUGAUUCUGGAAGAUUUUAAAAUUUUAUUCUAUGAUAUGUAUGGUGGAAGAGAGAGUGUACAUGUGCUUGUGUGCACGUGCACACACACACGCACUUGUGGAAGGCAGAAGACAGUUUCCAGUCCAGUAUUCUCUCCUUCCACCGUGGGUUCUAGGUCUUGAGUUUGGGUCACCAGGCUUGUGUUCCCCAUGUGUUUACCCAUCUCACUGGCCCUGGAAGGUGUGUUGUUUUCCUAUGAGGGAAGGAAAAAUAGUUACUGGCUUUUUCCUUUUGCCACUUUCUGCCACCCUUUCAAAGCAUACAGUUCCCCUGCUGAGUCAGUUUGAUGGUUUAAGCCUAAAAACAAGUAGAACAUUCCAGAGGGGUCUGUCUUUGCCUACUGUUUUGGUAGAAAGGCGUAGGGUAGAUUCACCUUCAUGCAUGGGCCCACCUGAAGCUCUGGACUGUAAAAGGUAGGACAGGGUGCAACCGAGAAGCCAGAGGGCCAGCCGGCACGCCCCCCCCCCCCAUCCCCUCAGAGUCAUGGACAGCUGUGUCUUGUGGUACGCCUUCACUGGCAGUCCUGAGUUCAGUCACAGAGACGUCAUCUUGCUCUUUCCAGAUCGUGUGCAUGCCUGGUGGCAAGAAGGAUCCCUCGGGACUGGUGUUACAGGUGUCUGUGGGACAUCUGACUUGUUACGUGGGUGCUGGGCUCUGAACUCCAGUCCUCAUGAUUGUACAGCAAGCACUGCUCACCGCUGAGUCAUUAUCCAGCUGCUGGUUUGGGGGUUCCAUUUUUAUUUAUUUUGGUUUUUCAAGACAGGGUUUCUCCGUGUAGCUUUGGAGCCUGUCCUGGAACUCACUCUGUAGACCAGGCUGGCCUUGAGCUCACAGAGUGUUGGGAUUAAAGGCAUGUGCCGCCAUCUCCCAGCUAGUGGGUUCUACUUUAAACACAGGGUCUCAUGUAGCCCAGGUUCUGUCCGGCUCACUGUGUAGUCAAGCCUAACCUGGAACUCUUGCUGCACCUGCACCUCCUUGCCUGGCUUGUCGUCUUUGGGUUGCUUUGUAAUGGAAGCGUCAUGGUGGUGAUAGUUCCUUUACCCUCUUUCCAGGGUACCCCAGGUCAGAAGGCCAUUAGAGGAGCAGGGUGGAGCCCAGCUGCUGUUCCUGUCCCACAGCACUGGCUCCAGACUUCCUGGGCUGGUUUUCUUCUCACCUGAAUCAGGGCUGGCCUCAGGGCUGGCCUCAGAAGAGUCCUGUCCUGAAGAGGCUAGAGGCCCCUCUCCCCGGGUCCUAUCAGACCUGAGACCAGUUGCAGAAGAUCGGAUCCAUGACAUGUCCCUCCCACCCCCCCAACCCCCGCCCCGUGAGAGUCACCUUCCUUAGUUCAAAUCCUUGGAUCCCUGUGGCAGACUGCAUCAAUUGGGUUCUGGAGUGAUUGACUGGGGGACAGUGGGCUAGGGUUGGGUAAGGGACCGAUGUCUCUUCCGCUCCUCACCUGGGCCAGCUGGAUGACCGACCACCUUACUUGGCGUGUGUUCAAGGACAGCAAGAAAAAUGAGGGACUUUCAGGGGCAGCUGUGUUUUCUGACUCAGUCAUAAUGCCCCUAAAAAUCCUUAUUGUUCUUGCAGUGUGCAUCAGACAGCUGUGGGGGUCACCAGCCCAGCCCUCGCCCACCUGGCCUAGGACGGAAGGAACUUCCUGUUAGCUUGGAAUGUAUCCCCCAAAUGAGGAGGAAUGGACACAUGCUGGUUGUUGAAACAGUUAAUGUGGCUGACACAUUAAUUUACAUACAUGUUCACUUUUUGGGGGGUGGCACGGGGGUGGGAGGGCUGGGGACCAUUCCUGGGUUCUCCCUGUUUCAGACAAGGUAAAGGUUGUUGGGGAAAGGCAUGGUUGUCUUACAGGAUCCCCCCCCCUGUUUCCUGAGAGUGGGGGCAGGUACCUGGGCAGGAACUUGCAUUCUUUUUAGGCCUUGAGUGAAGAGAGUCUAAGAGCCGGUGGCUGUGUUGAUCGUGGAUAUUCUCUAUUCCUGUUACUGCGGCAGCCACCUACCUCCGUGUUCAGCUGGUGCUUCCACCUUUUCCAACCCAACCCUACAUAUAUUUUGACUUGGGGGCCUAUGGGUAUGGGAUGGGGGGCUUCAAAGUAGCAUGCGUGCCUUUAACCCAUUCAUUCUUUUUUUUUUUUUUUUUUUUUGAAACAGUGUAGCCAAGAUUGGCCUUGAACUCUGAUCCUUCUGCCUCCACCUCCCAAGUACUAAGAUUGUAGAUGCUGAAGCUACGACUCUGGGCCUUUCCAACAGGAGCCGUUUUGUGACAUGCUCCUCUUCCCUACCACUAGCAUGCCACAGCGAUGUCACCAAGACUCAAAGCAACAGUCUUGUGUGCCUGCUGAGGCUGGGCUGGUGGCUUGUCCUCGGAUGGACAGGUGACUGAGGAGUAAGCAUCGCGGGGCCUGCCACAACAAGCCACCCCAGAUCUUAAGGACCUCACAUCAGCAGCAGACAGUCAUCUUCAGAAUGUCUUCAGGUCCCCAGGAGCCAGCUUGGAAGCAUUCGUCAUCGUCAAGAUGGUAUCGGUUCUUGGCUUAUGCUGCCCACCACGACUGUGCCGCCUGCCCUGGGUCUGUGGGCUUUGUGCCCCCAGCUCUGCAAGAGACUGCUGGUGUCUCACCGGGUAAAGGUUAGACAGGAUUUACUCUUGCUGCGGGAAGGUGAGUGAGGCUUUGGUGGACUGAGACUCUGACACUCGGGACGGACAAGGGCGACAGCUGUUCCGUCAGCUCUAACAGCUUUGCUGGCUCCUACUAACUUCAGUCUCCACCUCCCCUAGAGCCUCUUUACUCGUGCUGGUCCCUGCCCCAAACCUUGUUCCUUCCCAUGGUCCUCAUUCUUUACCAAAGCGUUUGCACAGUACAGGGCUGGGGAGUUGGCUCAGUCAGUAAAGUGCUUGUCACAAGUUCCAUUCUGGACAUCACUCACCUGUGAUCUCAGGUGGCAAGGCAGGGAUGGCUCUGUGGGACUGGCCACCCACCCAGUUCAGCCAAAUGCAGGUUCAGUGAGAAACCCCGUCUAAGAGUAAGGUAUAGAGCGAUUAUUGAGGAAGGCAUCUUGAGGUGGACCUCUGACCUCCACACAAACACAAACAUACAAGACUGGGUCUCACUAUGUAGACCAGGCUGGCCUCCAACUCACAGAGAUCCCACCUGCCUCUCCCUCCCAAGUGCUUUCAAAUACCGUAGAGUAUUUGAAAAUAUGAGAAUUGCUCUCGAAUGCUGUCGAGCAUCAGAGGGAGGAACGAGGCUCAUAAAUGCCCGUACCUGAAUUGUCUGUCUUGAGCCGUGCCUGCACACUUUCCUUCUGGCCUCUCCGCAUUAACAGAAUGGGGACUUUCAUUUGUGGGAGAGGGGCACGUGGGGAGGGGCACAUGCCAAGGGGCACACAUGGGGGCCAAAGGACUACCAGGGAUAAACUUAGGCCUUCAGGUUUGUUGGCAAGGGCCUUUACUUGCUGAGCCAUCUUGCUGGCACCUUUUGAAAAUGUAUUACUGUGUUCUCCUACCUUUGUAUGGGUCCCCGGGAAUGAACUCGGGUUUGUCAGCCUUAGUAGGGAAGCACCUUUACCCACUGAGCCAGAGGGGGACUUUUAAUGGGAGCCAGGCCUCUCACCCAGGGAGCCACAGGCUGUGCCCCUGGAAGCCUGGAUUUCUCUCCCCAUCCCCCAAGGAGGAUAUGGAUAUUUCUGGCCAGGAACUCAGAGAUCUUGCAGUCUUGCUGAAGGGAGCUUGAGGGGAGGUCCUCAGUGAGGAUGUCCUUGAAUCACUCACAUAAGGCAGGGGUUCUCGACCUUCCCUAUGCUGUAACCCUUUAAAUACAGCUCUCCAUGUUGUGGUGACCUCCAACCUAAAAUCGUUUUGUUGCUACUGCUAUGAGUUGUAAUGUAAAUACACAGGGUAUCUGAUAUGUGACCCCCCCAAAGGGGUUGCGACCCCCAGGUUGAGAACGGCUGACUUAAGGAGUGUGAAAGGCCGUGACUGGGUGUCUGUUGACGCCAACUAGAUCAGAGUUGGAGGGAUCAAGAGGAGCCUGGGGUGGGCGCCUUGACUUGCUAUUGACUUUUUCUUGCCUACCUUUGUGUGUUGUCUAGCAGCCGGAAGGAACCAUCAGGCUACAGGCCCGCCAGAGGCGAUGAAAGACGUUCCCUCCAACUCUGCCUGGAGAACCCCUUGGAGGGUUGAACCAUUUGCCUCUGGCAGACGAAGGUGAUCAGGGUACUUACUGAGGGCACAGCAAGGAAAUGGGAGAGCCGGGAUUCACAUCUGCAGUUCUGACUCCAAGAUCAGCGACAUUUCUGUAAUAAUCACGGAGGACACUUUAGCCGGGAAUGCUGGUCCCUUUGAGGGUAGUUACACUGCCGGACACUGAAGUGACAUUUGGGUCUUCACAUGGUAGAUGAUGUCUUAUGCCGUUGAUUCUGCAAGAUGAUCUUUCCUGACAGUUUCUUCUCUGGCCUCUGGCCCCGGCUGAACCCAGGGCUGGUGGCCCUGAAUUGAGUUGCAGUCCUUGUCUCUGCCCUGCGUUCUCUGAGCUUUGGGUCACUGGAACCUUCCCAUUGGAGCUUCAAGUUCAGACUCCCGCAGCUGCAGGGCUCUUCCUUAGGCCCCUGGCUUCUGCACAGCUUCCCCCAUGCCCUGCCAUGUCUUGGGGGCAGGCACCCAGCAACUUUCUGGUUUGCCUAAGUGCUGGAGAAGCAAUACUACCCGGUCACCCGAUUUUUAGAAUUUAUUUUUUUUAGUCCUGGAGGUUGAACUAUGGGCUUUAGACAUGCUAGACAAGUGUUCUACCACUGAGCUAUAUGUCCAGCCCUUUUUUGAUUUGAGACAGAAUCUUAGGUUGUCCAGCCUGGGCUUGAACUCAGUCCUUUUACCUGUAUCUCCAGAGCGCCGGCAUUAUAGCUGAGUACCACCGUGCCCACCUGGCUUUCCUGUUUUGACUCCUGUGUCAGGAAAGCAACCCUGGCUGGAGGUGGGGUCCAUUCCUGAUGACUUGGCCAUGGUAGAGCUGUCUAGACAUAGGAAUGGGUGAUGGCAUGGUACAAUGGUAGGCAGAGGGACGGGUAGCUGUCGGUUUUUCAUGGACCUUGUUUCUAUUGGUAUAUUGUUCCUUCAAAGGUCACGCUUUACUCUGUAUCAUCAGGAUUCAGGUAGGGCCAGCUCCCCCCACCCCCAGCUCUAGAAGUAGACAUGUGUUCCAGGCCUGGGUAAAGACUGCAGAAUUGUUUCUUGUCCUGACCCCCAUUCAUGGGACUUCAGCUGUAUCUUUUCAUAGGGGUUGUUAAGAUGUCAGUUUGGAAUUACUGGUGGCCAACUUAGGCAACUGAGGAUGAAACCAAUAAAGAAGAAAAAAACCACAGGUUAUGCUGUGGGGACUUGUUCCUUGCUACCCUGGAUCAAGCCAUGCCUGAAGCCAACAUUUGGACUACCCUGAUUAUAUAAACCUAUGGAUUUGUUUUUUUCCUCCAAAACAAACCCAUCUUGGGUUUUGUUACAGAAAGCUUCCUAGUUCAGGCAAUGGUUUCCGCCCUUCCUUCCUCUCAGAACAGCAUCGCUGAGAUGUUCUUUAAAUGCAGCAGAACUCACCAGCUGUGAGUGGACCAUUCCCAGUCUCUUCAGGAACAUACACCUUUGUAACUGUCACCAUCAGACUGAACUAUUACUUGGGAAGCUCUGUUGAUCCAUCUCCUUGAUGGUCAGUCCUCCAGCCUUCGCCCACCGCCAACCUGUUUUUUCUAGCGAUUCUUGUCUUUUCUGGGUCGUCCCAUGGUGUAUAUCAUGUGUCUAGUUUCCCUUAGUGUGUUUCCAUGGUUCAUUUCUCCAUGCGCAUCAGGGUCCAUCCACUCCGUUGUAGGCCGGGUGCCAUCAUGCCCUGUGGGUCCACUACCAUUUGUUUAUGCAUCUGGCAUACAAAGACUGUCCUCAGAUUUUGGUUGAUACGAAUAAAGCUGUUUUGCAUCUUCA